CAAGACUUUAUUGUGCUGUUCAAUACUGAAACAUCUGCACGAUUGCUUGAGCAGUAGCAUACAGCAUUUAAGCAGAAAGUCAUCAAACAAGCAAAGUUUCUCACUUUAACAGCAGAAGUUCAAAGUUAUUUCAGUGCAACAGAGAAACAACAGUCUGAAAAUGGGAGGAACGAGGCUACAAUCAGUCCAACUGAUGCUGUUGACAGGCUUGUACAUUUACAUAAGUCCUGUACCAGCAUUUAAGAACAUUUCAGCAGUAGAGAAGGUCACCAACCAUACUUACUUGCAGUAGAACAAACCAAGAAGAGGAUCAACAAUUUUUAUGUGGUGGUUUACAAGCAGCUCAUCCCUUGUGCAGGAGCCACCUCCCUGAGUGCCAUUGAUGAACUUUCAUUAUGUUUUUAACGUCUCCUAUCAAGAAUCUCUGGCAAAUGUCAAGAGCGUUUUAUUUAAUGCUAUCCUUUUUAAAUGAUCACCACUAGCACUUAUUUAUUUUUUACACAAUUGCCAUGCAUGUUGAUGACCUCACUGUUACAAAGCAGUGUUUGCAUAAAAGGAUUAAUAGCAGCUGUAACCUAUAUGUAAAUAUACUAAUAUGUAAAUUAACCCUUGUAUCCUGUAUAAAUUGCCAUUGAGACUGGGCUUUUUUUUUUAUUAAAAUGCUCUUGGUAGGGA